ACACAAGCCUUAGCCGGAAGAAAAGAGACGGCAUCCCACCCCAUACCCGGUGUUUGUUACAAUUAUCGAAAUUAACUCUCGACAGUGUGCGGAGAAUUACAAACCGUGCGUGUGGAUGCCAAACAACGAGGAUUUCAAGUUACAUGAGUCGUCUUGUACAGUUUUGAAGGUAUCCAGUGCUAACUUUAGCUAACUUAGCUAGCUAGGCAAACCAAUAUCGGCCGCUGUCAAUAUUGUGUGAUGCAGCCGAAGUUUUGUGUGAUAGUGUUGCUGUACUUGUAAAUGUACAUGUAUAUUUUUCUCACAAGUGUCAGGGAAAGACACGGCCACAAAGGUGUCGGUUCGUUCGUAUUUGGAACAUCUGAAUUGGAUGUAAGGCUUUUUUUGUCAGGUGUACAAACAGAAAAACCUGAUCACUCACUCGGCAAUCCCUGUAUUCCUGUUCACUUUGAUUCAGUUUCUCUUUUAUAUACUUAUAUAUAUACUUAAUUUUAGAUUAGUUGUGAUUCUGAGCCGCUCUAAUGCGGUUGGAAGUGUCUUGUGCAACCAAUGCGGUUGCCCUACUUCAUCAGACAGCCCACUACCCAUAGUGCAGGAUGUCCUUAGUGCCCCUCUGUCCUAUCAUGCACUGAGACUGAACAAAGAUGGCAUGAACUUCAUACACUGGUAGUGAAACCUGGACGUGCAGAUGCCAUGGUGGUACUUAAACUAAAAGCAGGUGCUUGUUCAGCAAGUUGAAUAUGGUUGCCCUCACUGCUUUGAGGAGUUGAUCUCCCUCUGAUUUGUUGCAGUGUGGCUCAUCCAUCAUACUUCUUGGGACAAAAAGGCCUCUAUGACAAGGUGACACAUAACAGUUAACACCUCAUGCACUGAAGGCAUUUACACGGAUAGGACGUGUCCGGCUGUUUGUCAUGAGCUGGUCUGGGCCAAAUGCUGCUGUCCUGUUUUUCUUUUUUUAAGCUGGAUCAGGACAAAAGUUUGUUUGUCCCAGUCCAGCCCUGAACUCAAGCAUUGUAAAUGAUACAGUGAGUGUUAAGUGAAGUCUUAACUCUACUGUUAAUUCUUACAAGUAAUUCCCCCCCUUUUUUAGUGUUUUAUAUUACAAGAUGCUGUGACACCAAUUUUUGAUGACGUCUAAGAGAUACAUGUGAAACUCUACAUAUGUGACCAUUUCAGGCAGGCCCCAGCCGGGAUCAGUGAUGGGGGCUACUAAAUGACUAUAAGCUGUGACCUGAGUUCUGAGAUGAGAAGAUCAGGUGUGCAGUCUGUCUUCCUUGUGUUAAUUUUUUUGUUUUUUUGCACUGGCCUGGAUAAUUAAAUUAUUAUUAUUAUUUAAUCUUCUGUUUAUUUUCUUCUUAGCCAGUGUUUUUUGCAUAUUUUGA